rnacentral:rRNA from 1 species
GACGAACGCUGGCGGCGUGCUUAACACAUGCAAGUCGAGCGGUAAGGCCCCUUCGGGGGUACACGAGCGGCGAACGGGUGAGUAACACGUGGGUGACCUGCCCUCAGCUCUGGGAUAAGCCUGGGAAACUGGGUCUAAUACCGGAUAUGACUCCAUGACGCAUGUCGUGGGGUGGAAAGCCUUGUGCGGCUGGGGAUGGGCCCGCGGCCUAUCAGCUUGUUGGUGGGGUGANGGCCUACCAAGGCGACGACGGGUAGCCGGCCUGAGAGGGCGACCGGCCACACUGGGACUGAGACACGGCCCAGACUCCUACGGGAGGCAGCAGUGGGGAAUCUUGCGCAAUGGGCGAAAGCCUGACGCAGCGACGCCGCGUGAGGGACGACGGCCUGGUGUAA